GGGCACAUGGGAGCACCCUCAGCUCCCUCUCCAUGGGAUACCCUGUGGGGCACUUCAGAGUCCCCACCAGCAAGAAGGCUCUCUCUCACCAGAUGUGCCCCCCGCCAACCUUGGAUGUCUCAGUCUCCAGAACUCAGAUGAGCCAGCUCCCUUGUGAAGCUGUAAGAACAUGGUACUUACAGGAGUAAGGCUCAUGAAGUGGAGAGAUGAGAAGACUUUCGGGACAGAUUGUGUGGAGGCUGUCAUUCUCCUCGUGACAUUGCUGUGGGAGAAGAAGGAGGCAUUCCAUGUUGGCUUCAGUGAAGAACUUCAGUAUUUUCCAGAGAGAAGUACUGAGAAGCUUAAAGUAUUUGAAUGGGAGGAGGAGAAGCAAACUACAGCUACUUCAGAGGAUAACACUAAACACCUAGUCCACUCUGUAUACACUAGAGGUGCUGUUAAUUUUCUUGUGGAGAAGGAACUGUCUUUAGAAAAAUAUCUCAAAAAGCCACUGAAGUAGAAAGUUUCAGCAUGCUGAAGAUGGAACUUGAGAAGAUAGAAAGUUCUGGGUCCUUAGUGGCAUGACUGAGUCGCUGGACCACUGUUGGAACCACCCUAUGUCUUAGUUUUUAAAUCUCUUUACUGUCUAAGACAUUUUUAGUGGAAGUAUUUAUCUCUGGCAUCCAAUAAGACCUUUAAGGAUUUGCAAAAAAAAAAAAAAAAA
rnacentral:lncRNA from 1 species